UGAAAGUGUCGUCAAUGUCCAAUCAGGCAGGGGAUUUAUCCCCUGUGCCGAUUAGAUAUUAGAUGACCUGACCCGUAUGAGCAAGUAAGAUAUUCGCCUGGAUUGGGAAUACGGGCAGCGAUGUCGAAAGUACACAGCACGAAGAUAUCGACUUUUA
rnacentral:sRNA from 1 species